GCGUGGUCUGUGGGACGCUGCGGCUUACCGGGACCGAGGAUUGACAGAAAACUCCCCUGGACGACGAGAAGCUAUCCCGGUUCACAGAUCGCUCAUGCUUGCAGGAUCUCUUGCUUUGAGGCUGGGAAAGCAGCCCCUUGGCCUUCAGCCGCUUCAGCCCAGCAGGCGGGGCUAUUGCCCUCACUGGAGCUCCUUGCUAAGGAGAAACUGCUGACCUUUAUACAGACAGCAGUCUCAGGUCAUGAAGUACGGAGCUGCAGUGGCAUUGGAAAAGAGGUGACCUUAAGGCGAGGUGCUCUGAGCCCGCUGUCCGCCUGCAUGAGGGCUGCUGGAGGGCGCCCGGCUGUGCAGCAGCACCAGCGCUGUGAAAACGUCCGCUGUUCAGCCAGUGCGGGGAGGACAUGUCUAAGAUGGCCGAGACAUCCCCUUCCUUGGAGGGGUGAGGAGAAAACCCGCUUGUCCAAGCUCCUGCGGUGGGCCUGGCGGCAGUCAGGGGCCCGCAGACACCGGGGACUUCACUGUCUCUAUGUGAGGCUGUGCCUCAGCGGUCAUGUUCCAUGGCUGCUGUAAAGUUCUGCUUCUGCAUCUGGUUCCUCUCUUUCUUCUAAGAUGAGAAUUAGUAACAGUAACAUAAAUUUUAACGUCCUUGAUAUUCUUGACAAAUAUGAAAAAAGUGCUGACGCGUUAGGUCUUCUCACCUGGCUUCUUGAAAAUCCUGGGUCCCAUCUCCAAGACACGUGACUCGUCUGACCCUAUCACAGACCACCAUUACUUCACCCUACCUACCUGCCCCCUGCUUGGUACUCAAUAAAAGUCAGCGUCCAGGCACUCAGGGCCGCUGCCGGACUCCGUCCUCUGUGUAGCAGUGGACCCCUGCGCCCAGACUCUCUUUUCUCUAUCUCUGUCCUGUAUCUUUGUUUUCAGUUUCUUGUCUCCACACCUGUAGACAGGGACUCACAGGACCCGGUAAGGCUGGACCCUAUAGUUACCAAUCUGUUACUUUUCUUUUUUUUCUUUUCUUGAGACAAAGUCUCUCU